rnacentral:rRNA from 1 species
GACGAACGCUGGCGGCGUGCUUAACACAUGCAAGUCGAACGGAAAGGCCCUGCUUUUGUGGGGUGCUCGAGUGGCGAACGGGUGAGUAACACGUGAGUAACCUGCCCUUGACUUUGGGAUAACUUCAGGAAACUGGGGCUAAUACCGGAUAGGAGCUCCUGCUGCAUGGUGGGGGUUGGAAAGUUUCGGCGGUUGGGGAUGGACUCGCGGCUUAUCAGCUUGUUGGUGGGGUAGUGGCUUACCAAGGCUUUGACGGGUAGCCGGCCUGAGAGGGUGACCGGCCAAAUUGGGAGAGAGAUAGGCCCGAGGCCCCUGCGGGGGGGAGGAGGGGGGAAUUGUGCAAAGGGGGCGGGAGCCGGGUGCAGCAGCCCCGGGGGGGGGGAGACGGCCUUGGGGGUGAAACCCGUUUUCCCCGGGGAAGGAGCGUGGGGAACGGGAAUGGGGAAAAAAACACCGCCUAACUAGUG